rnacentral:lncRNA from 1 species
GACUACUGUCCCCAGACCUGAAGUUUAUUGAAGCUUGCCUCCGAUGCCUGCGUACCAUCUUCACCAGUCCUGUCACUCCAGAGGAGCUACUGUAUACAGAUGCCACAGUGAUACCACACCUCAUGGCACUGCUUAGCAGGUCCCGCUAUACCCAGGAGUACAUCUGUCAGAUCUUCUCACACUGCUGUAAAGGGCCAGAUCAUCAAACAAUUUUAUUUAACCACGGUGCAGUUCAGAAUAUUGCUCACCUACUAACCUCACUGUCCUACAAAGUUCGAAUGCAAGCACUGAAAUGUUUCUCAGUUUUAGCUUUUGAAAACCCCCAGGUAUCGAUGACCCUGGUAAAUGUUUAACUUACAUGUGUAGAGCUGGAGCAAUUCGGACAGAUGAUAACUGUAUUGUAUUAAAGCUUGAUCAUGAUUUAAAACAUGCUCACGAACUCCGCCAGGCUGCAUUCAAGCUCUAUGCCUCUCUUGGAGCAAAUGAUGAAGACAUCCGGAAGAAGGUGAGUCUGGGAGAGGGGCGUCCCCCAGUCCUGACAGCCAGCAGGCAGGGAGUGACGUCAACCUGAAAGUCGUGGUGAAGAGCACUAACAGUGACUGUUUGAAUAUAAUAAAGCAGAGUGACUAAAGGCAUAAUUGAAGAAUGAAUG